GGGCCCAACUCAGGCCAGGCCCAGGCUGUGAGGGGGCCUAGAGGACACCAAACAGCGCAAAGGCCUCAGGUGGGCACGUAAGACAUAGCACAAUGGAGCAGCCAGAUGGGGCAGCGUGAGGCUGAGGACUGAAAUAAAUGCAACUGAACAAGGAAAUUAGCAUGGACUGAACCUGGAGAGGAAGAGCUUCCAGGCUGGAGUGGGCUUGCUGAGUGGGGUGCUGUCACUGCGGGACAGGUGCGUCCGGCUUGGAGCCCACGGCCACGCCCCUCCACCCCAGAGGCCUGCGCAGAGCCCAGGGUCGCCUUUCCUCUCCCUUUCAGCAAGAGGAAAUCAAGAAUGUGGGCGGAGCCGGGCCUGGUCCUGCAUGGCUCACUGGGGUCUCUCUGCACUGUCCUCCCUAGAUUUUGGAAGCACCAAGGGGAAUGUGGCCUGAAUUUAAACACUCAGGGCCGCGCCCACGAACAGUGAGCACUUUUGUGGAUUCAUGCUGCCCUCCUGCCUUCCUCGCCGUGGCCUUGAAUGCUGCGUUGUGUGCGGACAAUCCGCUUGUUGUGCUCCCGAGCAGGCUGAGCCCCGCGCUCCCGCUGCCUCUUAUAGGAGCAAACAAAAGCCGUUUUCUUCGUUCUGAGCA